CUCCUGGCCAAUUUUUAUAAUGUUCAUUUGAACCCAAAGCAGAGCAUUCAAAACUGGCUGACAAGUAAAAAUAUUGCAGUCUAUGCAACAAUGACAAAUGCAUAUCUUUUUUUACUUCUAGUAUUAGGUGCACCAGGGUUGGGUCAUUACACGUAGAAUAUUAUUUUUCUACAUACACGUAGAAAAUAAUGUAGAGUAUGUAGAAUAUGUAUAAUAUUUACGUAGAGUAUGUAGAAAAUUAAGCCUAACAUUGUCAAAGAAAUAUUUUGUAUUUUAAGUGAAAUAAUGUAUCUUGAGGUUUGUUAAAAUAUGCACCUCAUUAAAAUGGAAUAAUUUAUGUUUAUACAAUUGCACAUAAUGGCCACAGACUAUUGACUAUUGUAUGCAGACCAAUCAGGGCAUAGGAGAGAGACAUCAGUUGUUUCAAAAUGGCUGGCAGGCCAAAGCAUUCAUUGUGGAGUGACCUCGGUUUUAAGUUAGUCAAAGAAAACAACAAGUGUGUUUAACAGGUGUGUUGCAUUUUGUACUGUGUCAGAAAAAUUUAAAAAAUACUGCUGCAAAACGUCUAGAAUCACACAGGAAUGUAUGCCGCCAUGUAACCUCUACAGCGGUUUCCUCUGCAUCACAAUCUGUUCAACCACACACAAUUAAACGAAGACACAAAGUUAGUGAUGAUGAUGAUGAUCCUGUAUUUGGCCUUUCCACUCCUAGUGAAUCUACGAGUUUCAUUGUUGCAACUACAAGCCAAGGAUCUUUAUCUACAGGUGGCUUACAGUACAAAUCUCAUGAACAUAAUUCACCAUCCAAAGUUCUAGGCAUUCCCACAGUCACAACCAUAAACCAACACUCUUUCACUGCAGGCGACUCUCUGGGUGAUUUUCACCGUAAGGAACAGAAUUCCAUACCAGAGGUUUCAGAAGGAGUACAUAAAUGUAUUGAGCCCCCAAAGUUGAUGGAAACACACACAAACGUGGCACAAGAAAAUUUGGAUUAUAAGAACCGGACUUUUUUUGAUAAAAUAUCAAAAGCAAAGAAUGAAAUUGCCAACAGUGCACUGGGGAAACUUAUAUUUGGAUGUAACAUUCCUCUUAGUUCUGUGGACUCUAAUAAUUUAAAAAUUUUUGUCAAGACAUUAAGACCGUCAUACAGGCCACCAGUUCGAAAAACACUUGCAACAACCAUUCUUGAUGCAGAACUUCUUUAAAGUUUGGUGAACAUUCUGUUCUGCUUAUCGAUGAAUGGAAGAAUGAGGCAGCCAACACAAAAACCAUAGCUGCUAUGAUACAAAAUGCAGCAGGUGACAUUAGAUUUCUUGAUGCUUGGGAUCUGUUGGGAGAGAGUGAAACAGGAAGUGCUCUAAAGGAUAUUGUUUCACAAGCAAUUGUAUCUGCACGUGAUCUUUACAAUACAGAAUUAUAUGCUGUAUGUUUGGACAAUGCUGCCAAUAUGAUGAAAAUGGGUAAAAUAAUAGAUUUGUGGCACAUUACAUGUAAUUCACAUACUGGCAAUCUUCUUGCAAAAGAGCUUGUCCCAUCCCAGCUGGCAUCAAGAGUAAAUACAUUGUUAAAAGCUUUCACUUCAACUGAUCAAGAAGUACGUCUCCUUGCAUAUGGUGGCCACCGGAUAUGUAAAACACAAUGGUGCAGCAAUAGAGAUGCAUUCCUUUGUCUGCAGAAAAAUCUACCAGCAAUGUAAAAGGUGGUUGGACAGGGUGUAUCAAUUGACCCUGCUGCUCUUCAGCUGAUGUUUGAUGACAUCUUCAUGAAGCAAGUUUCAGAUGGCAUCCAGCUGUUUGACCCUGUUUGUACUUUAAUCAAUAAGUGUCAGCAAAGAAAAUUCAGUAUUGCUGACGCUGCAGAAGAGUGGAUGCAAUUACGGUUGCCAGAGGGAUACAUCCAACUCCAAAAAAACUUUGAAAAGAGGCGUGAGCAAGCACUUACCACCUAUGGCUUAGCAGCAAACUUCUUGCACCCAGUCUACCUAGGGAAGAGGUUUUCUGCAGAACAGCAUGAUGAGGUGGAAGAGUUCUUGCUUCAAGAACUUGAUGGGCAAAGACUGAAUGAUCUAGCAAAAUUCAAGAGUUCUACGGAGCAUAGUAUUUUUCAGUUACUUAGAGAAAAAGGUGUUGUUAAUCCAUCAUCUUUCGGGGGCUUGCUCAACGAAAACAUCCAGAAAUAAGAACUAGCAAUUAAGCUCUUGAAUAUCCCAGCCUCAUCUGCACAACUAGAGAGGGCAUUUAGUAAUUGGUCGUAUGUCCACUGCCCCUUACGAAACAGACUUACAUUUGAAAGGUCAAAAAAGUUGCUGCAUGUGUACCAUACGCUUAAACUUCGAGAUGUCCCAUCUGAUGAAUAUUGACUAACUUGAUAAUUGGAAACCAAUCCUACUCUCUAGUUUUAUUGUUACUAAAGAAUAUUAAAUAUGUAAUUUAAUACAUACAAAUUCUAGUUUCCAGGUAAAUAUGUAGUCUGUAUGCUGUUAAUAAACAUAAUUUUCUACGUGUAGACUAUAUAAUAAAUCUCAAUAUUCUACAUGACAUACUCUACAGUAGAAUAUACAUGUAGAUUACUUAUUUUCUACGCGUAAUAUUCUACUGACCCAACCCUGGGUGCACCCAAUAAAAAAACAUUUAAAAUUGACAUUUUGUUUAUGGAACGUGGCUAUGAUGUCAUUCAUCUUGUUUUCUUACCAUGUUAUUUAAAACUAAUUGAAAUCAUAUGGGCUGAACAAAAUCGCCAAAGACAUAUCCAAACUGCUAGAAAGUGGAAAAAAUUGUUCAAGCAUUAUUUGAGCAGCUAUUCUGUGGACAAAUACUGAACUGCCUUAAUCCAGACCCUUGAAUUCAUUGGCUAAGCUAGAAGGUGU